rnacentral:rRNA from 1 species
GACGAACGCUGGCGGCGUGCUUAACACAUGCAAGUUGAACGAGAAUUUUUUAAUUAAUUUCUUCGGAAAGAGAUUAAAGAAGGAAAGUAGCGAACGGGUGAGUAACACGUGAGAAACCUGCCUUUCACAAAGGGAUAGCCUCGGGAAACCGGGAUUAAUACCUUAUGACACUUAGAUAUCGCAUGAUAAUUAAGUAAAGAUUUAUUGCUAAGAGAUAGGCAUGCGUUCCAUUAGUUAGUUGGUGAGGUAACGGCUCACCAAGGCAUCGAUGGAUAGGGGAGCUGAGAGGCUUAUCCCCCACAUUGGGACUGAGACACGGCCCAA